UACAGAGGGUGCGAGCGUUGUUCGGAAUUACUGGGCGUAAAGCGCGUGUAGGCGGGCCGAUAAGUCAGGCGUGAAAUCCCCGAGCUCAACUCGGGAACUGCGUCCGAUACUGGUGGGCUUGAAUCCGGGAGAGGGAUGCGGAAUUCCAGGUGUAGCGGUGAAAUGCGUAGAUAUCUGGAGGAACACCGGUGGCGAAGGCGGCAUCCUGGACCGGCAUUGACGCUGAGGCGCGAAAGCUAGGGGAGCAAACGGG
rnacentral:rRNA from 1 species